UAAGCUUAAACUUUAAGGAUAAUUGGGAAAAAUGAAUUGUUUGACCGUAUUAAUUUGAGAAAAGAGUUCAACAAGCACAAAUGUACAGGAGCAUGUUAUUAGAUGUUUGGUUGAUAUCAUUGGGUGCACUAUCUUGAAAUGGCAAUUUAUGCUAUCUAGCAGUCCUUCUUGGGGGCAAUCCUUGUUUAAGUCCUUGUUGUCUUUAAUUUUUGCCUCUGUUUAGAAUCUUGUCGGUAUAACUGAGAGAAUAUAGACUAUGAGGGAUUUUUUGUUGUUUAGGUGGGAGAGCCAUUUUGGGAUCAUUUGAUUAGAUGAGAGAUUUGUUGCCAAUCAAAAAGGGAUGUGACUUUUGGCAUUGGGAACCCAGUGUCCAAAAACCUGCUUUCCUGGCUAAAUGAUUAUGGUGUCUUCUUUCUGAACCUUGUCCUUUUGUUACAUAGUGGUCAAAACAAAUUUGAGUUGCACUAGAGCAGUUGGGUUAUGGAGCUGGAUCAACUACUGGAAACUAUUGCCUUAGGUGUACUGUUCGUUUCUCCCUUUCUGAUUGGUGAUAGGGUUUCGUUUCUAUUUCCUCUUUCAGGUAAGGCCACAGGUUAGGGAGGUGUCCUCUCACCUCUCAUUUUCCUCAUCUCUAAAGACUUUCUUCUAGGCACUUUGUUCUUGCAUUCUCUAUCAUAACUAAUUUAGAUGGUCAUGCAGAAUCUUUUCUUUUGCUUCAGGCACACUAAUUAUCCAAAAACAUGAGGUUUAUUCCACUAAUUGAUCUUCUCAAUUCAUUUUGUCCUAUUUUCAGAGAUAAUACUAGAAUUUUGAUCCUUGAUUUCUCAAAUGUUUGCAUGUGCAAGAUUCUCUUGGAGUUUUUUACCCCUCAUCCUACAACCCAAGACAUUGCCGUAUCACAAACCUUUUGGAGGUCAAAGUUCUCUCUAAGAU
rnacentral:lncRNA from 1 species